rnacentral:misc_RNA from 1 species
UUAACGAUUAUAUAAGGACUCAGACAACACAAUCAAGAGCGUGUGUGGGUCUCUGACGGGCACGCACCAGCCGGUGGCCGAACGGACGGCCCGCCAAAGCAACAAAGUUGGAUAAGCUAGGGUGGGGGAGAUCUACCCCGGGGGGCAGGAACUCGAUAAUGAUCCUUCCGCAGGUUCACCUACGGAAA